rnacentral:lncRNA from 1 species
UUUCGCGUACACAACAUAUGUCUACAAGCCUCUAAGAGUACAUAAAUGUCAUAAAGGUCGGGAUAGAGUCCCGCCAUACCAAACAAUACAUGUCUAAAUCAUAAUAACCAAACAAGAAACUCUGAAGCAAAUGGAGCGCACCAACAUCUUCCGCUGAGCUGAUAGCCUACUUGGAGGGCUCUCGACCUAACUAUUGGGACCUGCGGGCAUGAAACGCAGCAUCACCAGGCAAAAGGGACGUCAGUACAAAAAAUGUACCGAGUAUGUUAGGCGCAUAAAUAAGUACAUAACAGACAUGGAAGAAAUAUAGAGUAAUUGACUUAACCUGUAAGUCUGGAUAAACUGUAAAUCAUAAAUUACUUUUAGCGCCAUGCAUAUGCGUAUGAAUAUCAUGUUGUGCAUAGGUACAUGUUUCAUAACAUCAUCAGCCUCUGAGGGCAUCCCAUCAUAUCAUAUCGGCCACUGUGGGCAAAAUCAUCAUCGUAUACCAGCUGAUCAGGUGGUGGUACAUAUAUAAUUCCAUAACCAUUCCAAUAUCCCAUAUACAUAUAUAUACAUACAUAUAUACGCGUAUAUAAUGCCGUCUGAGUCAUAUUUCAGUCACUAUGGGCAACAUCAUCAUCAUAUACCAACUGAUCCGGUGGUGGUGCAUAUAAAAAGCCAUAACCUUUCCCAUAUCCCAUAUACAUAUAUAUACAUAAAUAUAUACGCAUAUAUAAUGUCAUCUGGUCGUGGGUCAAUGCACAUGAAUGCAAUACAUGAAAAAUACGUUAAUAAAAUCUUUCGGAGUUUCAUAAGAUCAUUUUGCCUUUGAGUAAUAUCAUAAAGUAAACACUUUUUAACUUUUGAAUUUUUCUGAGACACAUGAACAGAUGAGAAAAUAUUAUGACACAAGGAAAUUCAAGAACAUAGAUAUCUUUAAUACUUCUAUGAAUAGAGUCAUUCAUGGAAUUUGUGCAUUUCCACAUUUCAUUCGUAUCAUAUGGAUCAUGCCAAAAGAAAGAAAGGAUAGCCUUAACAUACCUGGAGUAGAGAAAACUCCGUAUAAUAUUCUUGGAGAAGAUUGCACAUACUCCUUUAGGAUCGUAAAUUUUGCAUUGCUACGAUUCUACCAAAUUCUCGUUGGAACCGUACUACUGCUCGUUGGAUUGAACUUAAAAUUGCAGGAACUGGAUUCAAAUAGUUACUGUUCUUGAGACCUUGAACCAGGAUAUGAAAGUGUUUCUAUUGAAAUGGCUACUAUUCUUGGUUGAUUUGAGACUUUGAACGUAUUCUAACGUUU